GCAAGUCGAACGAUGAUGCCCAGCUUGCUGGGUGGAUUAGUGGCGAACGGGUGAGUAACACGUGAGUAACCUGCCCCUGACUCUGGGAUAAGCGUUGGAAACGACGUCUAAUACUGGAUAUGAUCACUGGCCGCAUGGUCUGGUGGUGGAAAGAUUUUUUGGUUGGGGAUGGACUCGCGGCCUAUCAGCUUGUUGGUGAGGUAAUGGCUCACCAAGGCGACGACGGGUAGCCGGCCUGAGAGGGUGACCGGCCACACUGGGACUGAGACACGGCCCAGACUCCUACGGGAGGCAGCAGUGGGGAAUAUUGCACAAUGGGCGAAAGCCUGAUGCAGCAACGCCGCGUGAGGGAUGACGGCCUUCGGGUUGUAAACCUCUUUUAGUAGGGAAGAGCGAAAGUGACGGUACCUGCAGAAAAAGCACCGGCUAACUACGUGCCAGCAGCCGCGGUAAUACGUAGGGUGCAAGCGUUGUCCGGAAUUGAUUGGGCGUAAAGAGCUCGUAGGCGGUUUGUCGCGUCUGCUGUGAAAUCCCGAGGCUCAACCUCGGGCUUGCAGUGGGUACGGGCAGACUAGAGUGCGGUAGGGGAGAUUGGAAUUCCUGGUGUAGCGGUGGAAUGCGCAGAUAUCAGGAGGAACACCGAUGGCGAAGGCAGAUCUCUGGGCCGUAACUGACGCUGAGGAGCGAAAGCAUGGGGAGCGAACAGGAUUAGAUACCCUGGUAGUCCAUGCCGUAAACGUUGGGCGCUAGAUGUAGGGACCUUUCCACGGUUUCUGUGUCGUAGCUAACGCAUUAAGCGCCCCGCCUGGGGAGUACGGCCGCAAGGCUAAAACUCAAAKGAAUUGACGGGGGCCCGCACAAGCGGCGGAGCAUGCGGAUUAAUUCGAUGCAACGCGAAGAACCUUACCAAGGCUUGACAUACACCGGAAACGGCCAGAGAUGGUCGCCCCCUUGUGGUCGGUGUACAGGUGGUGCAUGGUUGUCGUCAGCUCGUGUCGUGAGAUGUUGGGUUAAGUCCCGCAACGAGCGCAACCCUCGUUCUAUGUUGCCAGCGGGUUAUGCCGGGGACUCAUAGGAGACUGCCGGGGUCAACUCGGAGGAAGGUGGGGAUGACGUCAAAUCAUCAUGCCCCUUAUGUCUUGGGCUUCACGCAUGCUACAAUGGCCGGUACAAAGGGCUGCGAUACCGUAAGGUGGAGCGAAUCCCAAAAAGCCGGUCUCAGUUCGGAUUGAGGUCUGCAACUCGACCUCAUGAAGUCGGAGUCGCUAGUAAUCGCAGAUCAGCAACGCUGCGGUGAAUACGUUCCCGGGCCUUGUACACACCGCCCGUCAAGUCAUGAAAGUCGGUAACACCCGAAGCCGGUGGCCUAACCCUUGUGGAAGGAGCCGUCGAAGGUGGGAUCGGUGAUU
rnacentral:rRNA from 1 species